rnacentral:lncRNA from 1 species
CCCUAAUCCACGCAGCAACUAUGGUAACAGCAGGAGUGUUCUUAAUUAUUAGAUCUGCUCCCCUUUUUGAUUACUCUCCAACUGCAACAAUUAUUGUGGGGUUAGUUGGCUCUUUAACUGCUUUCUUUGCAGCUACCGUAGGACUAGUCCAAUCGGAUAUAAAAAAGUUAUUGCUUAUUCUACUUGUAGUCAAAUAGGAUAUAUGGUAAUGGCUUGUGGCACUUAUAGCUGUUUAAGUAGUCUAUAUCAUCUACUUACUCAUGCUUUCUUUAAGGCUUUGUUAUUCUUAGGUGCAGGCUCAAUAAUUCAUGCACUUCUAGAUGAACAAGAUCUUAGGAAGAUGGGGGGAAUAAUUCGGGGCUUACCUUUAACAUAUGUACUAAUGUUGAUUGGUUCAUUGUCUUUGGCUGGUUUUCCCUAUUUAUCUGGAUUUUACUCGAAAGAUUUAAUAUUAGAAUUAACUUAUAAUAAUUAUUGUUUGAUAUCUAUUUAUUGGUUAGCUUCAUUUACAGCCUUCUUAACUGCUUUUUAUUCAUUCCGAUUAAUAUACUUAAGUUUUGUGUCUAAGCCUAAUUUAACACGUAUAAGCGCACAACACUUACAAGAAGCUGAUUGGAACUUAUUGGGCCCUUUAUUAGUAUUAGCAAUAGG